rnacentral:rRNA from 1 species
AUUGAACGCUGGCGGCAGGCCUAACACAUGCCAGUCGAGCGGACGAAGGGAGCUUGCUCCUGGAUUCAGCGGCGGACGGGUGAGUAAUGCCUAGGAAUCUGCCUGGUAGUGGGGGAUAACGUCCGGAAACGGGCGCUAAUACCGCAUACGUCCUGAGGGAGAAAGUGGGGGAUCUUCGGACCUCACGCUAUCAGAUGAGCCUAGGUCGGAUUAGCUAGUUGGUGGGGUAAAGGCCUACCAAGGCGACGAUCCGUAACUGGUCUGAGAGGAUGAUCAGUCACACUGGAACUGAGACACGGUCCAGACUCCUACGGGAGGCAGCAGUGGGGAAUAUUGGACAAUGGGCGAAAGCCUGAUCCAGCCAUGCCGCGUGUGUGAAGAAGGUCUUCGGAUUGUAAAGCACUUUAAGUUGGGAGGAAGGGCAGUAAGUUAAUACCUUGCUGUUUUGACGUUACCAACAGAAUAAGCACCGGCUAACUUCGUG